ensembl:lncRNA
AUGGGAAUCAGCGGUGAUGUGUGGUGGGAGUCCUUCUUCGGACUUAUUGGUUCCUUGUGCAUCACGAAAAGGGGAUCACAGAGAAUGCCGUGUGAGACGCAGAAAGAAAAGAAAACGGGAGCGAGGAAAGUCAAGAGCAACCACGCAGCAGCCACGUGUACUAUUUCGUCAUUCAAACCAAUUUAUGCACCAUCUCCCGCCUGGACUACUGCAACUGCCUCCUGGCAGGUCUCCCUGCUACCGCCAUCCGACCUCUGCAGCCCAUCCAGAAUGCAGCAGCUCGGCUGGUCUUUAACCUUCCGAAAUUCUCCCACACUACUCCACUCCUCCGCUCUCUUCACUGGCUACCGGUGGCCGCCCGCAUCCACUUCAAAACAUUGGUGCUCACGCACCGUGCUGUGAAUGGAUUGGGUCCAGCUUACAUCCAGGUCAUGGUGAAACCCGACAUCCCGACCCGCACUCUCCGCUCUGCAUCUGCAAAACUGCUCGUCCCUCCAUCACUGAGAGCAAAACAAUCGACUAGAUCUCGACUCUUCGCUGUCCUUGCUCCGAAAUGGUGGAACGAGCUCUCUGAUGAUACCAGGACCGCAGAGAGCCAUCACAUCUUCCGUCGCAAACUAAAGACACACCUCUUCACACUCUACCUCGACUAAAAAACUAACAAAUUGUAGCACUUAAAUUGUACUCAUAGCACCACUCAUUUAUAGCAAAUUGUAAAUUGUCUUAUUUGAUGAAAUUCCACUUUCUUGUUUCUUGUUCUUCUGAGUUUGUAUCCUUAUGGUUGAAUGCACUUAUUGUAAGUCGCUUUGGAUAAAAGCGUCAGCUAAAUGACAUGUUAUAUAAUGUAAUGUAACCUAUGGGAGCAAUUAGGGCUUCGGGACACAUCGACAUGGACUAGCUGAGCCGGGGAUUGACGGACGACCUGCUCUGUUAUUCAGUCACAGAAGCCCAAUGUGCAAUUGAUGAAAACAGACUACAUACAGCUUGAGUUACACGCUGUUGAUCUGUUCAAUUUUGAUUUUUAGAUUUUAUUUGUUGACAGAUCAAAUAUAACCAUUGCUUGCCUUAAACCUCCCGACAGAAACCAUGUUACUAUUUUGUACACGGCUGGAAUACAACAAUUGGCUGUCUUGUUGCGGGACUGAAAAAACGAUUCAAUGGACAUUUAACGAAGAAAGAAAGGAGAUAAAAGGACAAAAUAAAUGCUGCUUCCAAACUUUGUCUUUGAUUUAGGAAAAGACGGUUUCCUUCCUCUGAAGAGUCGCCCACACUCUUGAUCUUUCAGCAGCAGUAGACAGCAGCACGCACCGGCCAAGUUUAGCAGACUAUUCAUGUGUGCUGGAUUAAAUAUAUAUAUCGACGUCUCCGCUCUUCUUCUCUCUUCUACACGUGUCUUCACCUGAAGGGAAACAGAAUCCCUCCAAGCAGCAGCGUGGAGACAAACUAGAGACCGGAGAAGCACCACAGCGUUCUUUAAAAGCCUAAAAUAGCAAAAAGGGAAGAAAUGAACCGUGUCCCACAGUGUCCCAAUCAACAUGUGUUGUUUGGUAGACACGUCCGUAGGUCAUGCACGUAACGUCAGCGGAUUAGGACGAGCAAUCCAACGUCCUGACUCGGUCCCGCUGACAACAUUCUGAAGUCAUUUGGACUAAUUAGUGUUCAAAUUGCUUCGUAGAUGAAAAACAUUCGCCAGAUUCUCUCUUUUAUCCGCUGACCGCUCUUCAAUCGUUAAAGAUCGCUGUCUCUCAUCCAGAUGUCUCGGGUUUGGUUCAUAACCAGCAUACAUCGGGAUGAAUUUAGCAUUUUUCCUCCUUUGUGCUAUAGACUGACUGGAGUCUCAUUUUAACUUUUAAACAAGUCUCAAAUGCUUUAAUUUCAUAAACAUCAGGACACAUCAUGGAAAUGCUGUAAAUCAGCCCCUGAGUUUGUUGCGACCUUUCACUUAGACGGGGCCACAUAAUUUCUUUCAGAGUCUUUGUGUCGGAAUCAACCACAUGAUGAUCUGAUACCGUAAAAGAGAAAAGAAGUUGACUUCAGACAUCAAAGCCCAAAAAAAGUUGGAUGAAAGGAAGAUGAAAUACUUUAAAGGCGGAGGUGAGAAAGUAUUCAAUCCUCCAUGGAAAGCAAACCCUUCAGGAAAACAUUUUCCCAUCAACCCCGUACAACAGAUCAGAGGGGACGGAGGCAUCGACUUGAGAUGAACGGCAAUGUUCAUUAAUAACAGCCAAAGUAUUUACAAAACUCCCAGCGGAAGAGGUCACGGACGAUAAGAAAUUUGAAGUAUGAGCACAUCACAUGAAAAUCAAAGCUACUAUCAUUCAUACAUACUUCUCUUUGACAACAGAUCAAAUGAAUCAGGAGAAGAAAUAUAUGUAGAUAAAGUGUGUGUUUUUAAACCUGGAUGACCUUUCUACACUCGUCAAACCGUUACUCGCCUGUUUAAAACCAGA